rnacentral:lncRNA from 1 species
CCAGUGAAAACCCGUGAAAACCAGUAUGGGCCAGUACAGACCAGUAAGGACCAGUAUAAACCAGUAUGGCCCAGUGGAGAUAAGCACAAACCAGUUCAGACCAGUUCAAACCAGUUCAGACCAGUUCAGAGUCUGGACCAGUCCGUCCCAGUUUGCCCCAGUUCCCUCCCAGUUCCCUCCCAGUUCCCUCCCAGUCCCCCCCACAGACGAGUCCCGAACUCUCCAAUUUUGGGAAAAUCCAAACUUUUAUUUUUUCUCCCCCAGAACCCUGGGAAAGAGCGCCGGGAAUUUGGGAUCAUCCCAAAAUUUGGGAUCCCCCCGCCAAAAACGGAGAAUUCCCAGAAAAUCUCGGAUUUAACCCCCCCAAAAAAUCGGGAAUUUCCACAAAAUUUGGGAUUCUCCUCCCCCAAAAAUGGGAAUUCCAAAGAAAUUUGGGGUUCCCCCGUAGAAUUGGGAUUUCACGGAAAAUUCUGGAUUUUUUUUCCAUCCCCAAAAAAUGGGAAUUCUCAGGAAAUUUGGGGAUUUUUCCUGACCAAAAUAAAAAAUUCCCAGAAAAUUUGGGACAUCCCUCAGAAAAUUUAGGACUUUUCCCUCCCAAAAAUCGGGAUUUCCCUCCCAAAAAUCGGGAAUUCCCACAGAUUUUUGGGAUUCUCCUCCCCUCAAAAAUUGGCAAUUUCCAGGAAAUUUGGGAUCUCCCUCAGGAAAUCUGGGAUUCCACCCAAAAUUCGGGAAUUUGGGGUCUCACCCCAAGGAAUUUUGGGAGCCCCAAAAUUGGGAAUUUCCCCCUCCCCCCUCACCCUGCCCGUCCCAGUAACCCCAGUGGCACCAGGAGGGGGUUCAGGGGGGGGCACUGGGCGGGCUCGGGGCUCUGGGGGGGCCCCCCCGGGCUUUGGGGGGCGCUCAGGGACCCCCAGAGACCCCGCAGGUGCCGCUGGAGCCCCCCCAGCGCUCCCAGCGCUCCCAGUUCGGCCGGCAGCGCUCCCAGUAAGGACAGAACCACCGCGGACUCUGUGGGGGGGAAAAACGGGGUCAGGACCCCCUAAAUGG